UACAGAGGUCUCAAGCGUUGUUCGGAUUCAUUGGGCGUAAAGGGUGUGUAGGUGGCGCUGUAAGUCGGGUGUGAAAUUUCGGAGCUUAACUCCGAAACUGCAUUCGAUACUGCGGUGCUUGAGGACUGGAGAGGAGACUGGAAUUCAUGGUGUAGCAGUGAAAUGCGUAGAGAUCAUGAGGAAGACCAGUGGCGAAGGCGGGUCUCUGGACAGUUCCUGACACUGAGACACGAAGGCCAGGGGAGCAAACGGGG
rnacentral:rRNA from 1 species